GCCGGUGUGACGGAAUUGGCAGACGUAGUGGACUCAAAAUCCACCGAUAGCGAUAUCGUACCGGUUCGAGUCCGGUCACCGGCA
rnacentral:tRNA from 1 species